CCCAGCAUCUGCGUUAGGUACUGUGUCCAACACAUAGGUUUCACAUCUCUUGCCCAACCCAUGCCCCCAACCCAGUUUCCAUGACGGUUGCAAAGACAUCCCACCCUGCUUGGUAAGCCCAGUCUCAUUUCCAAUAAAGCGUUUGGUAACCUGCACAGCAUUUCUUGCCUGGUUAUCUCUUAUCUCUGACAUCAGGGCAGAGCCCAGCCAUUGCCCCGGCUUGGGACAGUGGUAGCUCCUCUGCAUAUCCCAGCUUAGCUCCUGCAACAUUGUCCAGAUGCAAAUGAUUGUCCCUGCCUAGAGGGACUAAGCUCAUUCUGAAGGCAGAGCGCCACGAGUCUCCCUCUAUUUCCCAGUUCCCAACCUCACCAUCUUCCAGAGUCUGUGGUCUCUGCCCACCAGGGACUGCUGCCAUGGCUGGGUUUCCUUGAGUGCUGCCUGCAGCUGCACCCAGCCCAUCUGGCUCACUGCAGGUCCCCAUUUUCCAAUGCUCUAGGCUUUUCAAACCUAUUAUAGUGCACGUAUAUUUCCACUAGCUCUCUCCUAAUCAUCUCUGAAGUUCUAGCUCGUUCUACCUCAUCCCAUCCUCUCCACUAGGAUUUUACUAAUUACUGUCCUUUGGUCUGCACAGCUCCAGAGGUUUCACUUCGGCUUGAUAACAGUUCAGAGAUUUAAAACCCUUUCACCCGCCCCAUAAAAAGGAAAACAAAACCAACUCCCUCCCCCACCCCUUAUCUCCUCACGCCAGAGCCUCUGGAGCAGAUCUGGUCAAACAGACCGGCCCAAUCAGGCCCUCACACGGCUCUGUUUCUGGGAAGUGGAUGUGCUGUCCAUUGGACAGAGGAAGCGCCAAGCCUUGGCAGGUUCCCUACUUAUUUGCAAGACAUAAGCUGCUGGCAUGGUGUCAGAUGUGCAUGCAAGAAAGCUGGAUGCCAGUUAAGACCUAUAGUCCUGUUUGUUUCAUGCACUGUGAACUUAUCCUAUAUACACUAUGGGCUGGUUUAUGCUUGAAGACACGAAUAUAAAGGCUGUUACGCAUGGGAAAGGUGCAAAACAUUCUCCUCCAGCCCAGCCCCCUCAGGCUGCCUGGAGUUUCCCUCAUGCUCAGCUUACAUUCUCUGACAAAAAACACAAGACCCAACAAACGACAACCCUGUCUCAAGCAGCAAACAAACAGAGCUCCAUUCAGAAUUGCCUCCUGCACCACUGCAGCAAAAGCCAGAUGCAGCUCCAUUUUGGAAUAGCACUCACGCUUUUUCCUCUCCACUGCUCUCCCUUCAUGAAGAGAAGGUGGACAGCAGCUUGCACACGAGCUACAGAGCGGAAAUCUCCUCCAGCUUUCCAACAACAUUAUCUUUGUACCCACCCCAUUAAAGGCUCAUGUCUUUCCUUAUGUUUGUGAUGGCUUGAAACCUCUCAGCCUCGAGUUUGAGUAAAACUCUUUUUUUCUCCACUGUCUCCUUUCUGCAUCACUGGACCCCAAAACAACCCUUGGAUUUGUUGCCUUUCUUAGGGUGCACACGGAUUGCUAUGGAGGGGGAAAAUGGAGGUGCCACCUCGGUCCUGGAGGAGGGCAUUUCUAAAGGCCUCCAGUGUUCUUCCCUCCCCCCUGUCCAGGACCACAUAUUCUAUUACUCAUCUGGCUUACAGGACUCGGUUGUUCUCCAUCCUGCCAUGUCACCAGAAAUUAUAAGGCAGUUCCUGAACUGUGAGAAGUCCUGACCGCACACUCUUUGGCAAAGAUUAUUGUGUAGGACUGAAAAGUCCAGAUGUCUGGAUAUACGAAGACAGACUCCAUGAAAUAAAACUGGCCUGGCAAGGACAGGUCAGAAACAUUCAGAGAGAAACUAGGAUGACUCCUGAUAAGAAAGAGAACCCAGCCAACAGAGAACCGAGGCAAUAGCAAAAGAGUCUGGCUCCAAAUCCCAGCAGGUGAAGAAAUCAUCUGAGCAGUGCUUUUUCCCUGGAAAGCUUUUGGAUUGUCGCUAUGAAAUUCUGGGCUCAAUCUCUGAUUGAAGCCUUGAAAAGUAAAAACAGACCCUCCCCCGUGCCCGAUCUCCAGCUGCUGGAGGCCCCGGGCUGUACCUGCUGUGCCAGACGGGGUCGGCCCAUGGCUGGCAGGAACCCUCUCCAUGCAGGGCUCACUACCCAAGCAGCAAAGAGCAGAGGUGGGCUUUUCAUCACAUCUGUGUGCUACUGCCACUGCUGGCCCUUGGGAGCAGCUGAGGGCACUCUCAGGUGCCUAACUCCUACCACAGAUUGGUCAGGCUUCUACUACAGCUAGCAAAUUGCUGGAGUUCCUGAGUCAUCUCCCCCAGCUUCGUCAUUUCUUACCAUGUGGCUAUUUGUUCCCCCUCCAGUCUUAACAGGAUUCUUAGAACUGCCCCCCCCCCCCCCCCCCCCCCUUUUUUUCCCCUUCUGUCAUUCUGACCACCCUUUACAUUGCAAUCCCAUAUAUAAAGGGUAGUUGUUUCAAUAUUAUAUUUACUGGCCAAUCAGCAGGUAAGACUUCCUUGAAAGGCCAAAUCUGCUGAUAGGCAGCCUCCCUCUGGCAUGCGUAUUACUACAUUAUACUGCUGAUGUCAUAGAAUACAACUUCAUGACUUCCAUUACAACUUCUAAAAGCCUUUUCCAAAUUGAAUCCCACUAGAAGGUCUAACAGUCUCCUCUGGACAACCUUCAACUUUCUGCACAUCAGGCAGAAGAAACUACCUGAUUAGCACUAGUCCUACCAUCCAGUGCUGCUCACUCUUCAAACUGUAGAUCUGUACAUAGCUGUAGAGAUCCACGUCAGCAAUAAACUGCAGCAUCAAGAAAACCUAUUUUCAACAGUACCACUCCUGAAUGUGGAAACCAGCAAGAGACUGUUCUGUAGGGCAGCUGGGAAGCUAAGCCUGAUUUAACAAUUGUGCUAAAACCUUGGUGAGCCCAGCGAGGCCUGGACUGAAUGUGUGC
ensembl:lncRNA